UGUAAUAGGAAAAAAAAAAACACUAUUGCCAAACAGGGAGAAUGUGUACCGGUUGCCAAGAUAUAAGGCUUUAGAGGAAACAACUUCCUUUAAUCAAGGGGAGAAUGUAUCUGGUCCAUGGCCUAAUCAUGAUGACAGGAGUUGUUUGGCCAUGCCUAAGCAUGAUUAGAAGUGAUGAUUGCAAUGCCUAAGCAUGAUUAGAAGUGAUGAUUGCAGGAGACAUUAGCCAAGGCUUGACAUGGUUAGAAAUGCGUUUAAUGUAUGGUAAAUAUGGGUAGAAACUUUUACCAUAUUCUUAAUUAACACAAUAGCU
rnacentral:lncRNA from 1 species